UUAAUACCCCCUCCGUCCGAAAAUACUUGUCAUCAAAAUGAAUAAAAAUGGAUGUAUAUAGAACUAACAUAUGUCUAGAUACAUCCCCUUUUAUCAAUUUUAAUGAUAAGUAUUUCCGGACGGAGGGAGUAGCAA
rfam:Triticum aestivum genome assembly, contig: Triticum_aestivum_CS42_TGACv1_scaffold_407763_5BL